UUUUCCUCCCCUUUGAACUGGAAAAUGGCCCACUUCCCACUGGCGAAAACUCAUGAAAUUUGGCAGGACGACCGGGCCUGGUGAAAAAUUUGAUAUUCCGAAGUCGCCCAAACAAGAAAAUGCAAAAUGGCUCCAUAGCGCCCCCUAAGGUGAAAAUUCACACUAUUCACUGUCACGCCGGUACGCUUUGUCAAAAUGACACAAAAAUUGACACACACAUGUAUCUCAAUAAGAUCUACAAAAAAGUCAGUGCGGGCGUAUCUGUCAAAUGUACGGGUUAAAGGGUUAUUUCGCAUUUUUUGCCGAUCCGCACACAUUGGAAUUUCGCUAACUCCUCCGAAGGCUUUCGUUCCACCGGCACCACAUUUGCUCAGGCCAAUCUACACCCCAUGGCCAUUAAAAGUUAUUCAAAUCAUGACGCUGCACCCCACGGUUUAGGUUCUAGGGGGCGCCAAAGAUAACCCUAAGAUCCACAUAUUUAAAAGUCUUAUAACUUUUUAUUUUUGCCCUCACUGGCCUCCAAGUUUUCUAGGAUGAUGCAAUGUCCAGCCAUCAACACAUUUGUGAAGGAAUUUUUACUCCCCAAAAGAGCGCCCCCCCAUGGCAGGAGAAAAAAGUCCAUUUUUUCUUGUCCCCUAAGGUGAAAAUACACAUUGUUGAGUGUAACACCUGUACGCUUUGGCAAAAUGACACAAAAAUUGACACACACAUGUAUCUCAAUAAGAUCUACGAAAAAGUCAAUGCGCGCGUAUCUGUCAAAUGUACGGUUAAAGGGUUAUUCCACAUUUUUUGCCGAUCCGCACACAUUGGAAUUUCGCUAACUCCUCCUAAGGCUUUCGUUCCACCGGCACCACAUUUGGUCAGGCCAAUCUACACCCCAUGGCCAUUAAAAGUUAUUCAAAUCAUGACGCUGCACCCCACGGUUUAGGUUCUAGGGGGAGCCAAAGAUAACCGUAAAAUCCACAUAUUUAAAAGUCUUAUAACUUUUUAUUUUUGUCCCCACUGGCCUCCAAGUUUUCUAGGAUGAUGCAAUGUCCAGCCAUCAACACAUUUGUGAAGGAAUUUUUACUCGGCAAAAGAGCGCCCCCCCAUGGCAGGAGAAAAAAGUCAAUUUUUUCUUGUCCACUAAGGUGAAAAUACACAUUGUUGAGUGCUACGCCUGUAUGUUUUGUCGUAUUGACACAAAAUUUUACAUACACGUGUAUUUACAUAAGAUCUUCGAAAAAGUCAAUGGCCACGUAUCUGUAAAAUGUACGGUUAAAGGGUUAUUUCGCAUUUUUUGCAGAUUCGCACACAUUGGAAUUUCGCUAAUUCCUCCGAAGGCUUUCGUUCCACCGGCACCACAUUUGCUCAGGCCAAUCUACACCCCAUGGCCAUUAAAAGUUAUUCAAAUCAUGACACUGCACCCCACGGUUUAGGUUCUAGGGGGCGCCAAAUAUAACCCUAAAAUCCACAUAACUAGUUAGGGCCCGAGCGUAGCUGCUAAGCAGCUGCGAGAGCCCUCUUGUUCCUGUAGUUUCCUUCUUUUGUUAUUAUUAUUAGGGCCCGAGCGUAGCUGCUAAGCAGCUGCGAGAGCCCUAUUAUUCCCCAAGGGGUUUUUCUUUGUUUCUUUUUUCUUUUUCCUCCCCUUUGAACUGGAAAAUGGCCCACUUCCCACUGGCGAAAACUCAUGAAAUUUGGCAGGACGACCGGGCCUGGUGAAAAAUUUGAUAUUCCGAAGUCGCCCAAACAAGAAAAUGCAAAAUGGCUCCAUAGCGCCCCCUAAGGUGAAAAUUCACACUAUUGAGUGUCACGCCUGUACGCUUUGUCAAAAUGACACAAAAUUUGACACACACAUGUAUCUCAAUAAGAUCUACAAAAAAGUCAGUGCGGGCGUAUCUGUCAAAUGUACGGUUAAAGGGUUAUUUCGCAUUUUUUGCCGAUCCGCACACAUUGGAAUUUCGCUAACUCCUUUGAAGGCUUUCGUUCCACCGGCACCACAUUUGCUCAGGCCAAUCUACACCCCAUGGCCAUUAAAAGUUAUUCAAAUCAUGACGCUGCACCCCACGGUUUAGGUUCUAGGGGGCGCCAAAGAUAACCCUAAAAUCCACAUAUUUAAAAGUCUUAUAACUUUUUAUUUUUGCCCUCACUGGCCUCCAAGUUUUCUAGGAUGAUGC
rnacentral:lncRNA from 1 species